CUGUUAUUAAAAUUGUAUUCUGUUUGUUGGUUUGUAUAAAAGUAUUUUCUUAUAUCUUCAUUUAUUAAUUUUUUAAACCAGAAUUGUUAUGGCAUUGCGUCAAUUUCCCUGUCUUUUGGUGAAAAAAAUGUAUAUAUACCCGUAUACCAGGAAAUAGAAUCAAUAUUGUUCCAAACCACACCUGUAACAGAUCGCUUUACCUUAUCUAGUUUCUUUUUACUGAAACAUGCGUGGAAUGUUCAAAUAUGGCAGUACCUGCAGUUACACCCCCUCCUCGCCACACUCUGUCUCUCUGUUCCCUUUAAGCAGAGUAACCAACGAGGAGGCCCUGAGGUCUUUCUUGUUAAUAAUCCCUUGAGUGCCAAGAGGGCACACCCUUUCUGACACACACACACACACACAAAAAGAGUUAUAGGAAAGAGACCAUUUAUUGCAGAUACUAUCACCAUUUUGUCUGCUCGUAAGAAAAGCAAAGCAGCAAAAUGGCCUCCAGGUUUGCAGGAGCGAAGAAAUAGUCAUGAGGAAUUGCAUCUGCUUCAAACACCCACACUGAAUAUUCCAGAGACUUGCAGUGUGCAGGAUAAAUCUCUGUGAGUCAGCCAGCUGCACGACUUGCUCUGCAAGGAAAAAGGGGGGUCUAAGGCCAACCAAUUAUGUUGAAGAGUUAAAUAAACACAGACCAGCAAACGUGACGUUUAUGUGCGCUACGAAGACAGAGUUCUGGUUGAUUCUAAAGUUGAAGCAGCAGACAUGCCUACAACAAAUGCUCACAGAACUCAUGCACAUGUAAAACAAGAUGUCCUGUAUUACCACUAAGAGUUCCACAAGUGUAUUAAACACUAUUCUAAUAAUCUCUAUAUUACAUUUUGCUAAGGAUGAGAGCAUGGCUUGUUUAAUGGCACAGGAAACUAAGCAACUAUCUAGAGCUUCUUAAGAUUAUGUGGGAAAGGAGAAUGAUUACUACAAAUUAAUUAAUUAGGCUGGAGUGCCUGUCACUCUUACUUUCUUGAUCCCUAAAAAUGUGACUGAUGGGUACAUGUAUUUUAUAGUGUAUUUUCUAUGUGUUUUGUUCAUGAACCAGCAUUAUAUAUUAAAAAAGGACAAUUAGCAAUACACGUAGCAAACACACUGUAAAAUAUAUGUACCCAAACCGGGCCAGUUAUUUGGUCAUGUUUAGGCCACAUUAAGUCUGCCUGUUGGCAAUGUAGUAAUAAUGUCAUUACAAAACGUCAUAAGUAGAUUGAAACACUUGUAAAAGCUCACAACAUGUGUUUUAGUUAGACCAGUAAAAAUGGGUCUUCUAAAACAAUAUUAAGUAUUCAAAUCUUUAUUGGUCCUAGCAUUAGUCUGAUGCAGAACUGAAUUUUGCCCUUAAUAGAGACUGACUGCAUGUGUUUCUAAUUUACAUGUUGCAGGUUAAUCAGCGCUUUUGUUACUUUAUUCAUUUUUGCUGAUCAAAAUUGAAUAAUAAAACAUUAUUUUUUUUGCUAACGUGAUUCAGGAAUUGGGAUGUAAAUUUCAUUUUUCAGGUUUGUGAGAGGUGAUGCACUAAUGUGUGAUAAUUACUAGGGAGCUUUCUCCAACUUUAAUUCUAAUGUUAGUGUUUAUUAACUCAAAUAGGAAUUCCAGUGACGUUAUAACCACUUUGUAACAUUUAGGCCAAAAUUCUAUUUCUAGGUAAAAAUGUUCAAUUCAGUCAACCUGAAUUUUUUGGCAUUAAUUUUGCAAGCUAGUGUCAAUCCGUUUAACUAAAAUUCCACUGAAAAUUCUUCUCUAUCCACCAUGUCUGCAAACUCAAAACCUUACAAAGAGGAAUAUUUCUGAUAAAGGGGCACUCUUUGACAUCCACAACUUCCUACAACAUUUUAAAACUUUAUUAAAUUGAACAAUUUUAAAAUGGCUGGUCCAUAUGAAAAAAACAUGUGCAUGGUCAUAAAAUAUUGAGAAACUCACUCUGAAUGCUUAAUGUCUACAUAAUCCCUUUGGGCCUGCCAUAAUGAAAAAAAAUCACAAGUAUCUCACAUGUUUUCUUGUCCAUAAACAAAUUACAUAAAAUAAUUCUAUUUACUAUAUCUUUGUGAAUUAUCUCUUACAGACCUGAAAAAAAAAGAUUUUUC
rnacentral:lncRNA from 1 species